rnacentral:rRNA from 1 species
GAUGAACGCUGGCGGCGUGCCUAAUACAUGCAAGUCGAGCGGACGGACGAGAAGCUUGCUUCUUUGAUGUUAGCGGCGGACGGGUGAGUAACACGUGGAUACCCUACCUAUAAGACUGGGAUAACUUCGGGAAACCGGAGCUAAUACCGGAUGAUAUUUUGAACCGCAUGGGUCAAAGGUGAAAGACGGUCUUGGUGGCUCUUAUAGCUGGAUCGGCGCUGCAUUAGAUAGUUGGUAAGGUGACGGCCUACGAAGGCGACGAUGCAUAGGCGACGGCAGAGAGGGAUAGGCGACACUAGAGCUGGGACACGCUCCAGACUCCUGCGGGAGGCAGCAGUAGGGAAUCUGCGGCAAUGGGCGAAAGCCUGACGGAGCAACGGCGAGUGAGUGAUGAAGGUCUUCGGAUCGUAAAACUCUGUUAUUAGGGAAGAACAGAUGUGGAAGGAGACGUGGAGAGCGUGACGGUACCGAGUAAGGAAGCAACGGCUAACUACGUG